UGUUUCACACUUCCUGCUCCAACUGCAAAAUUGCCUUCCAUAGUUCCGUUCCCUAAACCCCCGACCCGACCACACGCCGCCGUCGCCGAUAAGCCGCCCCCACAUGCGCGCCGCCACCGCCGACGAGCGCGCGGCGGCCCAGCGUGAGGCGUUCCAGAGCUCACCUCUACGCUCCAAAACCGUUGGCCGUUGCCCGGCUCCCCCGCCAUGAGCCCUGCCCCCGCUUCGGAUGCCCUUUCCACCACGCAUCCCCCUCCGCCGCCUCCUAUCCCACCUCCAGCGCCGCGCUCCCCGCCCACCUGCGCCUCAGAGUAGACCGCUCUCCUACUCGCCCUGCUCGGCGGCACUGUCGGCGGCUGCGACGGAGUCCGAGGAGGAGGCGGUUGUAGGUGGGGACGCGCCGCUAGCCCCUCCCCGCUCUGGCGGGGCGGGAGGUGCACCGCCUGGGCCUCUCUGGGCACGCGAGGGGGCGCUUGGGGAGAACGAGGCGGAGCUCGGUCGGAAGGCCUCGAUUGUCGCGCGGUUCAGGCUCUGCCAUGAGCUGCUGUGGCAGAGGAGGUGGCGGGAGAUGCGCGGCGAGUUGGCCCAGAUGGUGGGCGAACAAGGACCUGAUUCUGCACUGGCUCUUUGUGACAUCUUAUCAAAUGGAUUCAGAGAGUGGCAUUCAAGCAGCAUUAUAUGGGAUGCUCUAGCAAAUAGUUAUGCUAGAGCCCAGAUGAUUGAUGAUGCUCUUUAUGUUCUUAGUAAAAUGAGUAGCCUAAACAUUCAAAUCUCGGUAUCCACCUAUGACAGUUUGCUGUACAGUCUAAGAAAGACAGACAUGGCACUGGAGAUUUUUGAAAAGAUGGAGUCAUGUGGUGUCUCCCCCAGUGAUUAUUCCCAUAGCAUUCUCAUAGAUGGCCUCUGCAAGCAAGAUAAAAUUGGAGAGGCUUUAUCAUUUUUUCAGGACGCAAGGAAAGAGGGAAAAUUCAAACCCUUAGAAAUGACCUUUAACAUCCUUAUGUCGGCAUUGUGUAAUCGGAGUUUUAUUCAGAAUGCAAAAUCAAUUUUAUGCCUGAUGUUGAAGUAUGGAUUAAAUCCGAACAGGUACACGUAUUCGACUAUUAUACACGGUCUAUGUAAAGUAGGUUCUAUACGUGAAGCAUUUGAUAUUUUCCAGAGCGUAACUGAAGAAGGAAUGGAACUUGAUAUUGUCACCUACAACAGCCUUAUUAAUGGCUUUCGCUUGCACGGUCACACAAGAGAAAUUCCAAGAAUGAUUGAGAUGAUGAGAAAGCAAGGGUUUGAACCCGAUCUUGUUACUUAUACUAUACUGAUAGCUGGCCAUUGUGAAGGUGGUGAUGUUGAAGAAGGGAUGAAGAUAAGAAAGGACAUCUUAGAUCGAGGUCUGGUGUUGAAUAUUGUCACAUAUAGCGUCCUUAUCAAUGCUCUCUUCAAAAAAGGCCUAUUUUAUGAGGUCGAAAACCUACUUCAUGAGAUAUGCAGUAUUGGUCUGGAUAUGGAUGUCAUUGCAUAUUCCAUCCUCAUCCAUGGGUACUGCAAGCUAGGAGAAAUUGGAAAAGCGCUUCAAGUCUGCAAUGUAAUGUGCUCUUCUCAGAGGGUAAUGCCAACUUCAUUAAACCAUGUAUCUAUUCUUCUAGGCCUUUGCGAGAAAGGAUUCCUUGAUGUUGCAAGGUUGUAUUUGGAAAAUGUAGCUACCAAAUAUCAGCCAACUGAUGUAGUGCUUUAUAAUGUAGUUAUUAAUGGUUAUGCAAAAGUGGGUGAUAUUGGUAAUGCCGUUCAGCUGUAUGAUCAGAUUAUUACAGCUGGUAUGUGCCCAACCAUUGUAACAUGCAACUCUCUUCUAUAUUGCUACUGCAAGAUUGGGGAUCUGCAUGCAGCAGAGAGUUAUUUUAGGGCUAUCCAGAUAAGUGAUCUGCAGCCAACGACAGUUACAUACACCACAUUGAUGGAUGCGCUCGCGGAAGCUGGGAAAGUUCAUACCAUGCUAAGUGUUUUUAAAGAAAUGACUGGAAAAGGGAUCAAGCCAAAUACAAUAACUUACAGCGUAGUUGUUAAAGGACUUUGUAAGCAGCUCAUGUUCCAUGAUGCUAGGAAUGUUCUUGAUGAUAUGUAUGUACAAGGGUUUAAUGCUGAUCCAAUACCCUACAACACCCUUAUACAAGGUUUUUGUGAAGCAAGGGAUGUCAAAAUGGCUUUCCAUAUAUAUGAACUGUUGGUAUGCCGCGGACUGAUGCCCACGCCUGUUACUUAUAACUUGCUUAUCAAUGUGUUGUGCUCAAAGGGACUAGUCAUUCACGCAGAAAUGGAACUGGAGUCCUUCAGAAAACAGGGUGCUGAGCUGAGAAAAUUUGCAUAUAUGACACUUAUCAAAGCUCAAUGUGCAAAAGGAAUGCCUUACAAGGCGAUUAUGUGGGUUGGUAAACUUCUAGAUGCAGGGUUUGAGGCCUCUAUUGAAGACUUCAGUGCUGCAAUCAACCGACUAUGCAAAAGACAAUUCACCAAAGAAGCUUUGAUGCUCUUACCGAUUAUGCUAUCUGUUGGUGUUUAUCCAGAUAUUCAGCUAUACUAUGUGCUGGGUACAGCUAUACAGAAGAGUAAUGUGCUUUUCUAUCUACCCAUAUUACAAGCACUCGCUACAAAAACUGGCCUUUAGUACUUGGAGCAUGUGUUCAGUUGCAAUGUCGGCCAUGUUUUAAUAGGUGGCCAUUUAAGACAGUGUUGCCCACAGUCAAUCACUCGGUCAGUAUAUGUGUGCUAAAGCAUAAGGUAAGCUAAAGUUUUGACAUCCAUUUACAUCAUUGCAUGACGUGAGAAUGCCAAGAGCCUAAGAUCGUAGUUAGUGGUUCUACCACAUUUUCUUCAACAAUCAGCAUCAGUGAUCCCACUCAUUUUGGUACAGUCCAUUAUCUUUUUACUCUAAAUAUAAAUAUGUAAAAUACUGGAUUCUUCUCGUGUUUUCUGAAUUCAGACUUUACUAUUGCUACAUUUUGCCAGCUUGCCAGACUAUUGAUCCUUAAUAUUUCUCAUGGCAUUCUGCCAUGUAUCUAUGUGAAUCACAAAAUCAUGCAGGCAAAUGCACAUUAGCUAUCCAGCUACAUCUGUGCACAAGCAAAUAUUCAGUUGCCUAGUUAAAUUAAAUGUGUCAGUGUCAUAUGAAGUAACUCGCUUUAUUUGAAGAGAAGUGCUACUUCGCUUAUUCUUGUUUAGGUUUUCUCAGGCAAGAAUUGUGAUCAUAAGACCGUGUUUACUGUCCAAUGGUGACACAGAGAUGGCAAGGAAACCAACUUGCUUUCUGGGUUGGCAGACGGCAUUCAGAAUUUAAGAUGAGCCAUCACUAUCGGCCACCCCUGGCGCGUCGGUGGCUGGAUUUCAUGAUGAAGAAAGAUAUCAUGAUUGUAGACGCGGAGAAGCUGCGGACAUGAAGCACCGUCACCUGAAGCUGACGGUAGCUUUCAAACUUGCCAGGUGCCAUCAAGGUGCCAAACAGGUUGAAUUUCGCUCACUUGACGACAAUCUCUCCGCGUCUUUUGGGUGCUCACAGUGCAGUUAUCCUCGCUGAAAACCAAGUUGAUCCGGGGGAAUCCAUGAAGCAUGAAGAUCAUGUACUUUACUUGUUGGACGUGGACGAGGACAAAGGCCAUGGCUAGGCUCCUAGGCCUCCCCACGGUAGGGCAUAUGGGCAGGGUGGCCCCCGGGAUCUCUCGUCCAAGUCCCGGAGAUCUCUUCCACCAAGCUAGCAUCUCCUGAUAUCUGCGUGGGCAUCAUAUCAGGCGCAUGGCCGAAGGCCAAAACUUCAGGGCGGGGCAGGUCGGUGCUUGUCGAGUAGCUCUGAACCAUCUUCCUCUUUUGUCCUUCCUGUGCACUAGUCGUUUUCAGUCUUUACUGGAUGAGAUUCUUGUGUUCCCCCUCAUUAUCUAGUUUGUGUAAAUUGCAUACUUCCGCUGUUGAUGCUGUACAGUUACGUUCGUGUUCAGAUUGUGACUGCAGGUCAGAGAGAAAUAGCACAUGCAUAGCGAUGUUAGUACAGACUGGACAGCUGCUGAGCUGCUCAGCAUUCUAUUUUCCCAAGUAGCGACAAUACAUUCUAUGCUCAAGCGGUGACUAAAAAUUCUAUUUUUCAUGUUGGGAGUUAAAUGUACAAUCGGGUAAA